CCUACGGGCGGCAGCAGUGGGGGAUAUUGCACAAUGGGGGAAACCCUGAUGCAGCGACGCCGCGUGUGGGAAGACGGUCCUCUGGAUUGUAAACCACUGUCCCCAGGGACGAAGAUGACGGUACCUGGGGAGGAAGCUCCGGCUAACUACGUGCCAGCAGCCGCGGUAAUACGUAGGGAGCGAGCGUUGUCCGGAAUUACUGGGUGUAAGGGGAGCGUAGGCGGGACUGCAAGUUGGGUGUCAAAUCUACCGGCUCAACCGGUAGCCGCACUCAAAACUGCAUUUCUUGAGUGAAGUAGAGGCAGGCGGAAUUCCUAGUGUAGCGGUGAAAUGCGUAGAUAUUAGGAGGAACACCAGUGGCGAAGGCGGCCUGCUGGGCUUUUACUGACGCUGAGGCUCGAAAGUGUGGGGAGCAAACAGGAUUAGAUACCCUAGUAGUC
rnacentral:rRNA from 1 species